rnacentral:rRNA from 1 species
GACGGAGGGUGCAAGCGUUGUUCGGAAUUACUGGGCGUAAAGGGCGCGUAGGCGGUCUGUUAAGUUCGGUGUGAAAGCCCCCGGCUCACCUGGGGAACUGCGCCGGAAACCGACAGACUCGAGUACCGGAGAGGAGGGUGGAAUUCCUGGGUGUAGCGGUGAAAUGCGUAGAUAUCAGGAGGAACACCGGUGGCGAAGGCGGCCCUCUGGACGGAUACUGACGCUGGAGGCGACGAAAGCGUGGGGAGCGAACAGG